GACGAACGCUGGCGGCGUGCUUAACACAUGCAAGUCGAACGGAAAGGCCCUGCUUUUGUGGGGGUGCUCGAGUGGCGAACGGGUAAGUAACACGUGAGUAACCUGCCCUUGACUUUGGGAUAACUUCAGGAAACUGGGGCUAAUACCGGAUAGGAGCUCCUGCUGCAUGGUGGGGGUUGGAAAGUUUCGGCGGUUGGGGAUGGACUCGCGGCUUAUCAGCUUGUUGGUGGGGUAGUGGCUUACCAAGGCUUUGACGGGUAGCCGGCCUGAGAGGGUGACCGGCCACAUUGGGACUGAGAUACGGCCCAGACUCCUACGGGAGGCAGCAGUGGGGAAUAUUGCACAAUGGGCGGAAGCCUGAUGCAGCAACGCCGCGUGCGGGAUGACGGCCUUCGGGUUGUAAACCGCUUUCGCCUGUGACGAAGCGUGAGUGACGGUAAUGGGUAAAGAAGCACCGGCUAACUACGUG
rnacentral:rRNA from 1 species